GGAGAGAUGCCGGAGCGGUUGAACGGGGCGGUCUCGAAAACCGUUAUAGGUCUCGUACCUAUCGUGGGUUCGAAUCCCACUCUCUCCG
rnacentral:tRNA from 2 species